UUUGUCACAUCCGGAAGGCCCCAGCCGGCAAUCAGACCUUCCGGUGUUUCUAGGACUAUGGGCUUGUAACCUGCUGAGCUAGGUUUCACCUGCAGAUACAAAGAAGCUGGUUCACCUGCAGAUACAGAGAAACUGGGUGGAUGGGAGGGUAGAAUCACAGGGCUGGCAGGCAGUGCCACUGCCAUUGGGAGCUGAGUUAUGACUGUUAGCCAGUGGGCCCCA
rnacentral:lncRNA from 1 species